GACGUAGGGUCCAAGCGUUGUCCGGAUUUACUGGGCGUAAAGAGCGCGUAGGCGGCUCGUUAAGUGUAGAGUGAAAUCUCUGGGCUCACCUCAGAAACUGCUCUGCAUACGGGCAAACUAGAAUUCGGUAGGGGAGACUGGAAUUCCUGGUGUAGCGGUGAAAUGCGCAGAUAUCAGGAGGAACACCGGUGGCGAAGGCGGGUCUCUGGGCCGAUAUUGACGCUGAGGAGCGAAAGCGUGGGGAGCAAACAGG
rnacentral:rRNA from 1 species